CAUACCUGAUACUUUUAAAUAGAGAUAAUGACUUACAAUUACUAUUAAGGAUGACAGACAAUAAGUUAGGCAAUCAAAAUUUUAAUAACAAAGAUACUAUUUUUAACAUGGUCAAGUAUACUUGGCUAAGUCCAUAUUUUAAAAAACAGAAGUAUCUAGCCCAACAGUACGACCAUACAGCUUUGUACAGAACAUUCCAUAGAUCAACAGAAAAUACAUUUGAGCACAAAAAUAAAAAAUAUUUAAAGAUAAUCUCUAAGCAGCAUUUUAUUUCUGCAAAACAGACAUAUAUCUUGUACUGAUUAAAUAUCUACAAGUGCUUUUCCUUUACAAAAAUACAUAUAUUCUUAAUAGACUAAGUCAUUAACAAUGACCUGGUAAUCUUUCACUUCAAUUUGAAUGAUUCAUAAGCUAAAUCUUACAACCACAAAAAGGUUUUUUUAUCUGUAUUAAGAUGUUAACCACUUUUGACAAAAAGAAAAAAAAGCUUAAAAUAUCUUAUAUUUCAAAGGAAAAUCAGCAACACAACUGUACACUGUACUCUACGAUGGUUUAACGUGAGGGCUACCCUACAACACUGGUGCUCGCUGGUGCUGCCCGACGUGAGGGCGCAGCGGGACCCAGCUCCCUCACGGGCACGUGUCGUGGACCACAGCUUCAUAAGGACACUUGGGCCCCCGCCCCACUCUGCAAAACACAGCAAAGAAAACUGGCCCCGAGCAGAUGAGGUGAUCCCAUUCCAUUUCCAAUGUGUUGAGCCCCUGCUCCAGUGGACUGACGUGUGUCUGUGGAUAAAUAACCUGCUUACUAACCCUACUGUUGCCCAGAAAACAUUUCAUCCUCAUUUGUACUAGAUUAGUUUCUUAUGCCACGAAGCUCUGGAAGAUAGAAGAAAACUAGACCCAACAUUUGACAGAUAUCAGUUGCACUUGAUUCUAGGUUUACAGACAAUGAACAUUAAAAAGCAUUGCUAAACAAUGUCUCAGUGCUGGCUCCUAGGAAAAGGGGCAUAACAAGUACACAGACACAUUUUAAUGAGCAUUUAAAAUUAAAUGAUUUUUAAGUUUAAUUUCAUAACUUUCUGAAAAGGAAGUGCUCAAGCAUUUUAAGUGUUUGAAAGCAUAGUAAAAGCCUAAGAAGUAAACACACUAUGUGACAACUACAUUAUACUGGGAAGAGAAUCACUUUUAAAUUAUCAGGGAAAUGCCAUUGCUGUAGGGGGAAAAAUGGUGAAAACCCAGUAAUGCGUAUUUAAAUACAUUUUAACGAGCUUUCAAUAUCAUGUUUUUCCAUCAAAACACUAUUGAACUAGGUCUCUCGAGUCAAUCGAGCAAUGGUUGGUUAUUUUGUGCUUUCCAAGGGUCUUAGAGUCUUUAGUAUAUUUAAUAUUUUUCAACCUGUCAUAUGCCAGAUCUGGCAGACAUGCUAUGUUCCUUAUUUUGUGUGUGUGUGUUGUCAUCUAUAAUAGCGUUUUACGUAUUUGUGGUUCUAAUCCAGGUAUUUAAAGUUAUGGCAAACACAUUCAUUUUUGCCAUUCUCCUACAACCAACAUCUUGAGUAUCAAGCUUAGCCUGUGGGAAAUUCCUUAUGAUAAGUCACAGUAUUUAACAGAGGCUCACAUAUGGCCUGUCAGAGACUUCAGGAUGCGAGCUUUACCUUUGAGGUAGCCCACAGCCUGAACUCCCAAGGAGAAUGAUGUAAGAACAGUAUGUAUGAUCUAGAUCUGAGACCCAUUUUGCUAAUUUGGCUGUGAGUCUGAAUUCUAAUAAAAAUAGAGCAAUCGCUGAGAAACAGGACAGGGAGGUGAAACAGGCCUUUAUGAAAAUUUUGUUUUAGAAAAUGGAAAAAGCAUUUAUGUAUGCGAGUUCAAUAGAAUGUGCUAUUUUUUAUACAAGUAGGCAUGUCAACACUUUACCAAAGUCUGUCUUUAAUAAAAUUUAUCCUAUUAUUAAGAACUCAGGAACCAAAUAAAUGUUAUUUUUGUUUCUAUUUCCUUCAUGAAAGAAAAAGCUUCUCAAAUUAGAAGAAUUUUAAAGUAUGUCUCUCUCCCACUUUUCAUCCAAAGGAAGGCUAUUUGUUGUGUUUGUCUCUUUCUUGCAUUUGAGGAUUUCCUACGACCUGUCAAAUGGUGCAGAAAAACAAGCAUAUUUGAAAGGAAGUGUGCUCUGCAUUUGAUUGAUCUCAUCAUGAAAUUUAGAGUUAAAGCCUUUCUUUGGUGAUAUUUUAGCAAUUAAUCAAUCUUAUUGCCUCAUAAAAUUAAUUUCCAAACUCCAAACCGUUACAACUAUCUCUCCAACAUGGUUGUUCAUUAGCAGUAAAAUGUCUUUGGUGAUAGGUAUUUUCUUAUGAAAAUCUUUA